rnacentral:lncRNA from 1 species
GCUGCUCAGGCCCGCACAAUGUCCCGUGCCCCUCCUCACUCGUUUGUAAUCGCCGUCUGUUUUGUUGUUCUGGGUAAGGAAGGCAAGAGCUAUAGAUAAAACUUAAAUAAUAAUAAUUUAAUGUGAAUGGGUUCUGAGCUCUCCCUGCGCCCCGGGUGGGCCAGGCCGAGCAUUUUGCACUAAUGUGUCCCACGGUGGGCGUGAGUCGGGAGUGUCUGUGGACGUGCGUGGCUGCUGAGCGGACCUGCUGUGUGCUCCCUCCACGUCCUGAAUGUACCGUGGGGCGGGGGCGGCGGCCCGGGCUCAGAGGGGCCUUCCAGAGUGCCUUAGCAUCCUUUGAUCAUUUUUCCCAAGGAAACCAAUUAAGAAAGCCGGACCCUUCCCUCCUUUGUUUACAAGAUGACUAAUUCUAGAAUCCGGGGUUGUCCUGUCCUGUGAGUGUGACCCUGACUCAUCCAGACCCUGUAGAGAGAGACGAGCCACUCAGUAUUUACGAGAUGUCUGCACCUUUAUCCCUAAGCCUGACUAUUAGCAAUACGCAUAUCCUAUAUAGAAUCUAUUACAGAGCUACGUUAUCUCCACACCUUUUGAGGACAGAAGGGACUGGACCGUGUUGGAGCUGCCGCCUGGCAGGUGGUGGGCCUGGGAUCUAGCCGCCUCUCCUGCCCUGCCUUCCUCUUCCCCAAGGGGAUGGGCCCAGGAGGCAGCUGGGUUGCAUGGAGAGGUCCAGGAGGGACCGGAGGUGUGACAGAUACUGUGAGCCCGGCGGGCCGCGCCUGGCUGGGUGCCUCGGUACUUGAAUUCUGUCUUGUUUUCCGCAUUGUGUCUGUCCACCCGAGUUCUCUGUCGUCACUUAACUUUGCAUUGGAUUUGGUUGUUGUACUUUGCCCCUGAAUGUGGACAAAGCUGUGGGCAAGAGGUCAGCAGGACCCGCCUGGGGGUGCCGGCGUUGGUGACUGUGGGUCGGGGCUCCUAGAACAUAGGAGCCGGCUGCCUGGCCUCCUUUCUCCUCCAGGAAGAGUCAUUCUUUGGCAUUUGUGUUUAGAGCCAGGAGGAAGGCAGAAGGUAGGGAGGGAGGGCUGGUCCCCCUCUGAGGGGGCUCUAGUGCCUGACCCUGACCUGUCCUCAUUCGACAGCUGAAACUGUAAGCGCUGGCCCAGUCCCCCCACCACACCCAGCCGUGUACUGCCUGGGCUCCCCUCAAAGGGAAAUUUUUACGGAAACAUCUUGGCAGCAAGUGGAAAAAGAUCUAUGGCCCAUGAACCAACUGAAAACUCCAAGAAACCUCUGUCUGCCUCUGUCUGCCUCUGCCAGCAGCGAGUCCUAAGCGCAGAAUCCAGAGCUCGUAGCUGUCCUCAGCUGUAACUACUGUUUCAGAAUGUUGCUGCUGCAUACAUUUGUCAUGUCAGCCAGCCAGCUCCGUGGAAAAGGAAAGGAAAAUUAUGCAGAAUCGCAAGCAUUCAGACUGGACGACCUGCUCGUAUUCCGAUCAGUCGCUUCCAUUGUUAGCAUCGUACACGAUUGUGAUUUUUAUGUCAAAAGAAGCCAAAACUUGCAAUACUAUUUUUAGCAGACAAAAAAAAGAACUAAGUAUAAAAUGUAUAAAUAUUUUUGACUUGAACAUUUGGAUGGCACUGGGUGCAAGUAGAGCAUCCAUCCUUCGGAUGGAACGUUUGGAAAAGAGACUUUUAAAAAGGAGGCGGUUGUUUUAAAGAGUCUGUUUAGGGGUUAAAGUACUGUAACUCACGACUGUUAAAAAAUAAAUUUUCCUGUGCUGUAAAGGAAGGUUUCACAGUACCACUGAGUUAGAUUUCAGCCACAGAUGCUUAGCUUUUUUUUUUUUUUUUUUGUCUUUUUUUUAAGGAGGAAGCCUUUGUUUUGUUUUCCUGAGCCCUCACUCUCUUUUUGUGCUGUUACUCGGUAGAGUCAAGACUGUUACUUUUUAGCCAUGGCUGACAUUGUAUCAAUAACUAAAACUGAAACAUCCAAAAGCGAACAGGGAAACCGAGGGCUUCAAGCGUGCUCAGAGCCGUUUCAGACAGUGGAAAUCCAUGACAAACAAAAGGAUGUGAUCAUUAAUUGUAAAGCGCUUUGUAAAAUUCACAUUUACAAAAUAAUAAAGUCAGUUCAAACCUAA